AAUUGGCAGCAGACAACUUCUUCAGACUCAUACCUCCAUCCGUUACAAAACCCCGAGACCCAGUGCUAGGUUGUUAUCACCAUGGAUAGGAGAACACCAUACUCGUUGAGCGUGCUCCAACCGCAAACGGAUGGGCUGGGGGAACCACGCACAAGAAUCCAGGCACAGUUACGGGAGUUCAUCUUGGCCUUCCAGCUGGAUAAUACAUUCAUUUACAGAGACCAAAUUCGACAGAAUGUGUUGAUCAAAAAGUACUAUUGCGAUGUUGAUAUCGCUCACCUCAUCGCAUACAACGAAGAACUAGCCCACAGGCUGACCACAGACCCGGCAGACACAAUCCCACUUUUUGAAGCCGCUCUCAAACAAUGUACUCAAAGAAUCGUGUACCCAUCCGAACGAGAUAUCGAACUCCCUGAACACCAACUCCUGCUCCACUCGAGUGUAUCGCAUAUCACUAUUCGAGAGCUGAAUGCCACCAAUAUAUCUCAUUUGGUCCGGAUCCCAGGUAUUGUUAUAGGAGCGUCUACAAUAUCAUCUAAAGCUACUCGUCUACACAUAACCUGUAAGAACUGCGGGGAACGUGAAAAUAUCAUUAUCGACGGCGGAUUCUCAGGUAUCACUCUCCCAAGGCAAUGCAAGCGCCCUAGAGAAAAGGACCAGGACCCAUGCCCUCUCGAUCCGUACGUGAUAGAGCACGAAAAAUCCCAGUUCGUUGAUCAGCAGGUGCUCAAGCUGCAGGAAGCGCCUGACCAAGUGCCUGUCGGAGAACUUCCUCGACAUAUCCUCAUAUCUGCAGAUAGAUAUCUUGCCAAUCGUGUCGUCCCUGGUUCAAGGUGUACUGUUAUGGGGGUGUUUUCAAUUUAUCAAGCCAAGGGCAGCAAAAACGCAACUAAAAGCGCCGUCGCUAUUCGAAACCCAUAUCUUCGUGCGGUUGGGAUAAGUACUGAUGUAGACCACACUGCCAAAGGCAAUUCUGUCUUCUCAGAUGAAGAGGAGCAGGAAUUCUUGGAAAUGAGCAGACGUCCAGAUCUCUACCAGGUCUUCGCUGAUUGCAUCGCUCCUUCAAUUUAUGGAAAUCAAGAUAUUAAAAAGGCGAUAGCUUGUCUCCUCAUGGGUGGAUCGAAGAAAAUCCUCCCUGACGGCAUGAAGCUUCGAGGAGAUAUCAAUGUGCUGUUACUAGGUGAUCCUGGUACCGCUAAGUCCCAAUUGUUGAAAUUCGUGGAAAAGGUGUCUCCAAUUGCCAUCUACACUUCUGGCAAAGGCUCGUCAGCUGCUGGUCUUACUGCCUCCGUCCAGCGGGACACCACGACCCGUGAAUUCUAUCUCGAGGGCGGUGCAAUGGUACUUGCAGAUGGUGGCGUUGUCUGUAUCGAUGAAUUUGACAAGAUGAGAGACGAAGAUCGAGUCGCCAUCCACGAAGCUAUGGAACAGCAGACCAUUUCCAUUGCAAAAGCUGGUAUUACCACCAUACUCAAUUCUAGAACGUCCGUUCUCGCAGCUGCAAAUCCAAUCUUCGGACGAUAUGAUGAUUUGAAAACGCCGGGCGAAAAUAUCGAUUUUCAAACUACCAUCCUGUCCCGAUUUGAUAUGAUAUUUAUUGUCAGAGACGAGCAUGAAAAAGGCCGUGAUGAAAGAGUUGCCAGACAUGUUAUGGGCAUACACAUGGGUGGGAGAGGAGUAGAAGAACAGGUUGAAGCGGAGAUCCCAGUUGAAAAAAUGAAGAGAUACAUUAGCUACUGUAAAUCACGCUGCGCUCCACGACUCUCCCCAGAAGCCGCAGAAAAGCUUUCCUCGCACUUCGUCUCGAUCCGCAAGCAAGUACACAAAGCUGAACUAGAUGCCAACGCCCGCUCCUCAAUUCCCAUCACAGUCCGCCAGCUCGAAGCCAUCAUUCGCAUCAGCGAAUCCCUCGCAAAACUUACCCUCUCCCCCAUCGCGACGGAAGAGCAUGUCGAUGAGGCCAUCCGACUCUUCCUCGCCUCUACCAUGGAUGCUGUCACGCACGGUGAAGGCCAAGGUAGCAAAGAGCUACUGGCAGAGGUUGGCAAAGUUGAAGACGAGCUGAAACGGCGGCUACCGAUUGGAUGGAGUACGAGCUUGGCUACGCUGCGGAGGGAAUUUGUGGAUGGACGAAAUUACAGCGAGCAGGCAUUGAAUCGGGCCUUGCUUAUUCUCCAACGACGGGAAACGAUACAAUUUAGAUCUGGCGGUUCCCAGAUUUAUCGAAAUGGACCUUGAUUUUUUCUUUGUUUCUAUUUAUUUCUGUUUCUUUCUUUCUUUAUUUCUAUUUUUUAUUCCCCAUACGUUUUGCUUACCCCUGGCUGGAUAUGUUACAUCACAUUUGUUGCACUGAUUAAGAAAACGAGUCAAGAAGGCGGCAUCGGGAUUUUUCGGCAAGUUACAGAUGGUCAACGGCUAUGCAGAUGGUGUUUAUGAGGAGUUCUACUUUUCUACUUUUCUUGUUUCACAACCCACAUAUGACAACAUAAAUAAUAUCACGACACACGAUGCUAAAAUAUAACAGUACAAUAAAUAUUUCAUCAGAUCAAAUCUUAUGACGCGGGUUAUCAGGUUUCCUAUGACUAUUCAUUUUCCCAGAAGCUGCCUGGAAGGAUGUAUAUUUUCAGAGGUUGGCUGCUUGCUGCUGUUCUCCCACCCUCCUCGGUUUCUUCUCCCAUAUAAACAAUGAUGCUAAAACCGACACGCCUGAAAACGCAGUUAAGAAUAUAUUUUGCUUAUUAUACCCCUCCCCAAACGCCUGUCGCACGGCGAUCCGUUGAGCGGGUGUUAAAUCGUCAAUUGCAGAGAGGGAGUCUGAGAUGGCUCGAAGUUGAGAGGGGCUGAUCACGGAGGCCAUCUUUGGUCUGAGACAGUUGUUGAGGAUUGUCGAGCAUAUUGCUAGUGAUAUCGUGCCCGCUAAAACACGUACUUGUGUGAGAGCCCCCAUUGCUACUCCUAAAUAAGGCUCCUUUAUUACCAGCGGCGCAAGUGUUAGUAUGGUAGUCAAACUCAACCCAAACCCAAGUCCCAUAAGUGCUUCGUAACCGUACUGCUGCGGCGAGACCUCAAAUGAAUGGGUUGGCAGCGUGCAUGUUAAUCCCACUCCGAUGAAUUGCAAAAUGGAUCCUAGAAGUAUCAAAUAAAAAGGAGGGAUUUUGAGGUUAGAGGUGAGCAUGCCGGAAACGGAUGUGGCAAGUGGAGAUGUGAGUAGCAAGGGGAGUAAGGCCAGUCCUGCCUUCACCGAGGAAAGUCCACUAACAACUUGGGCACGUUGGGGGAUAUUGACGACGAUUGCAACAAAUGGGAAGCCGGUAAAGAAAGCAGUGCUUGAUUCUCGCACAUAUCAAUAUUGGACAUAUCAUACUUAAGAAGUGACUGUUGAGGGAGGACGAGUUAGAUGAAUGGGGAACGAAUUUAACUCACGCCAUCAUAGCUGCCAACAACCUAUUCUUGAGAAGUCGAAGUGGGAAAACAGGCUCCUGUAAUGAAGUCGAUUUUUCAAGAAACAAUUCCCAGAAAACAAACAGAAUACCAGCGAUACCUCCAACGCAGAAAGUAGAUAUAGUAACAGCGUCACUCCAGGAAUAGCGAGUGCCAGCCUCCUCCAAGGCGAAAACGAGAAGAAUAGAAGAUGCGAGGAGUAGAAACACCCCAACAACGUCUACUCUUCUGAGUGCCGCUCCGGAGAUCUUGGCCCGCAAAUGAUUUGUGAACUUCACGUCCGGUCGAGAUGAAAUCGAUGAUGGCAAAAUUAAGGCCACAAUCCCAAUGCAAACGCAUCCCGCCGGUGCGUUCAAUAGAAAUAUCCACCUCCAUGCGGAGUUGUUGCUGAUUGCUCCCCCAAGGAUGGGACCGAGCACACUCGCGAUAGCAAAAACUGAGGCUAUUAUCGCAAGAUAUUUCCCAAAUUUCUCCGGGGGAACUAAGGUCGGCGCUAUCACCAUAAUCAUGGAAUAUAUUCCAGAUGCCCCCAUGCCUUGAAAGGCACGGAAAAUAAUGAGUUCCACAACGUCAUUUGUAGCACCGCAAAGGAUCGAGAAGAUAGUGAAUAAAGACAAGGCCAGUAGGAACAUAGACUUCCUGCCGAAUACAUCUCCCAACUUGGCGUAUAUCACGAGGAAUCCUCCACCAUCGUGUAAGUGCAAGGAUUAAUCAAAGGUAGAAUGUAAUAAGAAAAGUGCACAACGUUACCAGUAUAGGUCAAAAGAUAAGACGUAACAAUCCAAUCUCGCUUUCCAAACCCAUCAAGAGCAUUGGUGAUAGAGACCAGUGAAGUACUGACGAUUGUAGUCUCCAGCGUGGAAAGGAACAGGCUCAGCCAGAUGCUAUAUCUCGAGUGAUUAAUUUGUUUCCCAACGCUGGCCAAACUGUUUCUUCCCAUCAGCGCAACUCACCCAGUAGUCAAGAGAUACAUUCGCCAGCCGCGAAUGUAUGGAAAAUUUCCCUCAUUCUCUGCAUUUGGUUCUGUAUUUCCGUCAUUGUCAUGGUCAAUUUUAUCUUUGACUUGAGAUAUUUCGUGAUCCGGGUUUCUUGCAUCGGGGUGUAUCCUUUCAGGCUCCGAAGCCGCCAUUCGGAUAAUAUGAUUUCUUGUACGCACCAGCAGGAAUGGG
rnacentral:sRNA from 1 species